rnacentral:rRNA from 1 species
CAAGUAUAAGUACAGGCCGAUCAAAGGCGAAACCGCAAAUGGCUCAUUAAAUCAGUCAUAAUUCAUUGGAUGUCGAAUCCGAGAAACUUACUUGGAUAACUGUGGCAAUUCUAGAGCUAAUACAUGCAACUCAGACCUCCGCUCUCCCCUCUCGCUAUUAGGACGCGCGUCAUCGUACGCCGUUAUUACUACGACGCGAGACGGGGAGGGAGAGGCGCUUUUAUUAGAUCACAAACCGAAUGGAGAAAUCGCCCUAGUAGUGUCAGUCAGUGGUCGUCGUCGGCCUUCGAUGAUUAUUCCAUCGAACCGAUUUAUCGUCACCACCUUCUUCUUCUUCUUCUCUCCUUUGUCGCUGAAAAAAAGUAAUAACUGUAACGAGAACCCCUUCGGGAAAGUAUCGUCGCCGCUAUUAUAACGACAAAGAGGGAGGAGGCGGCCGGUGGUGGUGGUGCUGCUGCUGAAGCUGAUCCGGCUCUCUCCUCAUUAUCCCUAAUCAUAUUCUUGAGACGGGAUGCUGUGAUGACUCCGGAUAAUGCCGCCGAGCGCUCAGGUCUCAGUACCGGCGCCGAAUCUUACGAGUGUCUGCCUUAUCAGCUGUCGACUGUAGGAUAGUUGCCUACGGUGGCUGUCACGGGUAACGGGGAAUCAGGGUUCGAUUCCGGAGAGGGAGCCUGAGAAACGGCUACCACAUCUAAGGAAGGCAGCAGGCCCGCAAAUUACCCACUCUCGGCACGAGGAGGUAGUGACGAAAAAUACCGGUGCGUGUCUCAAUACGAGGCCUCGCAAUCGGAAUGAGUCGGCAAUAAAUACAUCGGUCGAGGACCGAGCGGAGGGCAAGUCUGGUGCCAGCAGCCGCGGUAACUCCAGCUCCAUUAGCGUAUAUUAAAGUUGUUGCGGUUAAAAAGUUCGUAGUUGGAUGUCCUAUCACUAUUAUUAUUAUUGUUGUUGUUACUACGACGACCUCCGCAGCACGCAACAAAUGGCUUGCUUGCUGCUGCUGCUGCUGGNAUUAAANAAAUCUCNCUANAGAGGUGGUGAGANANAUAUAUAUUUANCGCUGNUCNCUAUCCCUGANAAAUCCCUUNNCGAGUGGGGGANGGAGGGAUAUAUACNGCAGCGGCGUNACCANNCNNCUUUUNNGGGNAUANUGCGNCCNGUUGNUGGNAUUGCUGCNGCNGUCCGNCAUCNNCCGUUUCUANNAAAGAAAUCANGNUUGAUACNACUGNAANCUNANUANUAGCNGCNNNANNAUGAUGAUGCCNAANGNNGCACAUCNCCNNAANCUUCUUCNUCNNCAUUUCUCNNGCNUNUCGNUCCUNAUNGAACGACGNNCGACGACNACAACNNCANNAGCAGCAGCAACAUUGAUUGNCUNAUCCCCAAACNACAAAGCCCGNNNNAUUNUNAUAUNCUUGUCNNGNNGAGGNGNNNNNNCNNCNGNAGUUNNUGCGANAAANAAAGANNUCNAGNGGGNNGANANAUANNAUNAUNAUANNGGCGACNACNAUNAUNAUAGUNCGNUGAUAUAUAUAUUUUCCGGCCGAACCUCCGGUGGUUGGUCCCUCUACUUCGCCGUCGCCGCCUGCUGGCGACGAGCGAGGGCGACCCCCUCCGGCGGCGGCCGUCUUCUUUUCACUUUGAUAAAAUUAGAGUGCUUAAAGCGGGCCCAAAAACGAAGCCCGAAUAGCGAAUCUUAGAAUGAUGGAAUAGGAUUCGGCGGCCGAACUGCUUUCGUUCGGUUUGUAGGCCGCUGAAUAAUGAUUAAAGGGGGCGGGCGGGGGCGUCAGUACGGCCCGGCUAGAGGUGAAAUUCUUGGACCCGGGCCAGACUACCUACUGCGAAAGCAUUCGCCAAGAACGCUUUCAUUAAUUAAGAACGAAAGUUAGAGGAUCGAAGGCGAUUAGAUACCGCCCUAGUUCUGACCGUAAACUAUGUCAACUAGCGAUCCGUCGGAGUCAUUCCCACGACUCGGCGGGAAACCCCCCGGGAAACCGAAGUUUUUGGGCUCCGGGGGAAGUAUGGUUGCAAAGCUGAAACUUAAAGGAAUUGACGGAAGGGCACCACCAGGAGUGGAGCCUGCGGCUUAAUUUGACUCAACACGGGGAAACUUACCAGGCCCGGACACUAAAAGGAUUGACAGAUUAAAGCUCUUUCUCGAUUUAGUGGUUGGUGGUGCAUGGCCGUUCUUAGUUGGUGGAGUGAUUUGUCUGGUUGAUUCCGAUAACGAACGAGAUUCUGCCCUAUUAAUUAGUCGGUGAAUCAUUACCCGAAGGGGUCACCUCCGACCUGCCGCCAAUCAAAUUGGGCGUUCCUUCAUUACCCGCUCUCUAGUCUCGAGGGGUCCUACUCCCGCCGCCGCCUUCGCUUCUACCUACCUACCUACCACGGCGCGACAACAGCAGAAGAAGUUGAGCUUGGCGUCGUCGUCUUAGCACGGCCGCUCAUACUCUUCUUCUUCUUCGUUUUACAACAUCGUCAAUCGCGACCGAAGAAAAUAAGCGUGGUGGUGGGGCUGCUUCCUGCUUCUGCGGCUGAUGCUCUGGGGGGGGAAAUUCUCCCUCCAUCGCAGUCGUAUCGGCAGUCGCANACNCCUCCUCCNCGAAGGCACGACAACAACAGCUUGAAUCGUGACCUUUAAUAAAAAGAGUAGUAGUAGUAGUAGCAGCGGCGACGGUAAUAAAGAUUUUUUCGGGACUGAGCUCGGGCGGUGAGGAACGUUCUAAGACGCGGCAGAGGGGAGCCUCAGAGGGGUGUUUGCCGCAAAUCAUAUACAUUUUCUUCUUAGAGGGAUCGGCGAGCGUCUUGCCGUAAGAGAGUAAGAGCAAUAACAGGUCUGUGAUGCCCUUAGAUGUCCUGGGCAGCACGCGCGCUACAAUGCGGGGAUCAACGCGCCCUUCCCCCUCCGACAGGAGCGGGUAACCGUUUGAAACCCCUGCGCGCUUGGGACUGGGGAUUGUAAUUAUUCUUCACGAACGAGGAAUUCCUUGUAAGCGCGAGUCAUCAGCUGGCGCUGAAUGCGUCCCUGCCCUUUGUACACACCGCCCGUCGCUACUACCGAUUGAAUGAUUGAGUGAGGACAUUGGACCGCCGCACUCGGUCGCCUCUCGUCGCGACUACGGCCGAGAACGUCACUAAUACAGCCGUUGUUGCCGUCGUCGCUCGAGAAACGGGGACCGAGACGCUGGUGGGAAGAUG